rnacentral:rRNA from 1 species
GGCGGCGUGCUUAACACAUGCAAGUCGAACGGAGAUGUUGUGUGAGCGGAGAGUGCUUGCACUUAACAAUCUUUCAACAUCUUAGUGGCGGACGGUGAGUAACGCGUGGGUAACCUGCCUCAUACAGGGGGGAUAACACUUAGAAAUGACUGCUAAUACCGCAUAAGCGCACAGUAUCGCAUGAUACAGUGUGAAAAACUCCGGUGGUAUGAGAUGGACCCGCGUCUGAUUAGCUAGUUGGUGAGGUAAUGGCUCACCAAGGCGACGAUCAGUAGCCGGCCUGAGAGGGUGAUCGGCCACAUUGGGACUGAGACACGGCCCAAAACUCCUACGGGAGGCAGCAGUGGGGAAUAUUGCACAAUGGGGGAAACCCUGAUGCAGCGACGCCGCGUGAGUGACGAAGUAUUUCGGUAUGUAAAGCUCUAUCAGCAGGGAAGAAAAUGACGGUACCUGACUAAGAAGCACCGGCUAAAUACGCG